GUUGAAUACAAAGGGCAACACUUUAAAUGGCAUUCUUGUAAAUACAUCAAAAACUAGGGGCAACAAUCUCAUGACUUUCUUCCUCCUUAUUCAUGUAGAACAUUGGGAGACCCAUUCAUGCUGGAGACCCAUUCACACCGGCUAAAAAAAAAACCAUCUACAGUCAUUGCCGAUGAUGUUGCAGCCCACCACGAGCUGCAGUGCUACUGGCGAUGGCACACGAUGUUUCAUAGCCAUCCCAUAGGCCAUUCUCUUGCAAUCUUGGAACCACGUGAUGCAAAGACAGUCGAACAUUUCUAGCUGUUUCUUCAGCCAUCGAACGCCAUCAGCCAGAGCAUAUUGUCUGCCUUCCAACGUGCCUCGCUAGGGGCUAUCAACAGUCUAGUAGCCUACUUGUCAUGCUAUUGAUACUUCGAAGAAAAAAAACCAGUUCAUGAUAAAAAUUAUGAAAAACACUUUUUCAAUAUUCUAGAACAAUUCUAGAAUAAAAUAUCAAAAUACAAAUUCAUGAACUUUCAUGGCACAUGUUUGAAGAUAUCAAGAUUAGUCCAGAGCAAUUCAAG
rnacentral:misc_RNA from 1 species